CAACGUACCGAAUUGAAUACAGGUCGCCACCGGCACAUGUGGAUGAGCAUGGCCAGUCUGAAUGGAAAUAUGCAGAAGCUAUAAAAGACACACCGACUUUUAAAGACUUAGUGCUGAACAUGAAGAACGCAGCUGGAAUGAAAAGACAACCCACAGUGCGUCAGCACACAACUUAACACAGACCAUCUACACUGGAACAGAAACUUAAC
rnacentral:lncRNA from 10 species